rnacentral:rRNA from 1 species
AACGAACAUUGGCGGCAGGCCUAACACAUGCAAGUCGAACGGAUCCUUCGGGAUUAGUGGCGGACGGGUGAGUAACGCGUGGGAACAUACCCUUUGGUACGGAAUAGCCUCGGGAAACUGGGAGUAAUACCGUAUGUGGUCGAGAGACGAAAGAUUUAUCGCCAAAGGAUUGGCCCGCGUUGGAUUAGGGAGUUGGUGGGGUAAUGGCCUACCAAGCCGACGAUCCAUAGCUGGUUUGAGAGGAUGAUCAGCCACACUGGGACUGAGACACGGCCCAGACUCCUACGGGAGGCAGCAGUGGGGAAUCUUAGACAAUGGGGGAAACCCUGAUCUAGCCAUGCCGCGUGAUCGAUGAAGGCCUUAGGGUUGUAAAGAUCUUUCAGGUGGGAAGAUAAUGACUGUACCACCAGAAGAAGCCCCGGCUAACUCCGUGCCAGCCGCCGCAGUAA